rnacentral:rRNA from 1 species
UACGUAGGUGGCAAGCGUUGUCCGGAUUUAUUGGGUUUGAAGGGUGCGUAGGCGGUGUCCUAAGUCAGUUGUGAAAUACGGCAGCUUAACUGUCGAGGUGCAAUUGAUACUGGGACACUUGAGUACUGAUGAGGUAUGCGGAAUGGACGGUGUAGCGGUGAAAUGCUUAGAUAUCGUCCAGAACACCGAUAGCGAAGGCAGCAUACUAAGGAGUAACUGACGCUGAGGCACGAAAGUGUGGGGAUCAAACAGG